rnacentral:rRNA from 1 species
GACGGAAGGUGCAAGCGUUGCUCGGAAUCACUGGGCGUAAAGGGUGCGUAGGCGGCUUCUUAAGUCUGGUGUGAAAGCCCAGGGCUCAGCUCUGGAAGUGCACUAGAAACUGGGAAGCUUGAGUACCGGAGGGGAGAGUGGAAUUCCGUGGUGUAGCGGUGAAAUGCGUAGAUAUCAGGAGGAAUACCGGUGGUGUAGACGGCUCUCUGGACCGUAACUGACGCUGAGACACGAAAAGCGUGGGUAGCAAACAGG